rnacentral:rRNA from 1 species
CGUCUCGGUGGUCACAGCGACAGGGAAACGCCCGGUAUCCAUCCCGAACCCGGAAGCUAAGCCUGACAGCGCCGAUGGUACUGCACCCGCCAGGGUGCGGGAGAGUAGGACACCACCGAGCA